GUAGGUGGCAAGCGUUGUCCGGAAUUAUUGGGCGUAAAGCGCGCGCAGGCGGUUCUUUAAGUCUGAUGUGAAAGCCCACGGCUCAACCGUGGAGGGUCAUUGGAAACUGGAGAACUUGAGUACAGAAGAGGAAAGCGGAAUUCCACGUGUAGCGGUGAAAUGCGUAGAGAUGUGGAGGAACACCAGUGGCGAAGGCGGCUUUCUGGUCUGUAACUGACGCUGAGGCGCGAAAGCGUGGGGAGCAAACAGGGAUUAGAUACCCUGGUAGUCCACGCCGUAAACGAUGAGUGCUAAGUGUUAGGGGGUUUCCGCCCCCUUAGUGCUGCAGCUAACGCAUUAAGCACCCCGCCUGGGGAGUACGGCCGCAAGGCUG
rnacentral:rRNA from 1 species